rnacentral:lncRNA from 1 species
UCAUCAAACCUAUUAACGGAUCAGUAAGAAGAGCAGAAUAGAAUAGAUCAAAGAGGUCCUAGACAGAGGAAAGUGGGGUGAAAGAAGAAAUUUAGAAGUCGGUAGAGGGUCAUCUUUCCUACUCCUUCUCCAAGCUCUCCCUAUUAUUCCUUCACACAUUUCCACUCUUCAUCUCAUUUCCCCCAUUUCUCUCUCUCUCUCUCUCUCACUCUCUCUCUUUCUCCCUCUUCAUUUCCCCCCCUCUUCCCCCAGUUUAUGGACAUUUCUUUCUGGGAAAAUAAAGCUGCCUGAUGGAGCUGACAAGCCACUGGUGGCUUUGGAGAGAAAGCACGCUCAUAAUAGGGAGGAGGAGAAGAAUCUUCCAAUCACCGGCCGCAAUUAGGGCUCCUCCACCACUCACCCCGCUUCCCCAUGAAUGAACAUUGACGUCAAUCGGGCGGAGAAGACCCCCCCAUGUGAUCUACUGGCUCCUCUUUAUAAAGAGGCGGGGCGGGCGCUGUCCAGCGUGCUGAAGCUUGGGGAAGCAAGCUAGCGGGAGAGACGGAGAAUCGACCACGCGAAGAGAGACCAGCUGGAAACUGACCGAGGCGACAGUCGAACGCAGCUCAGGGACCGAAACUCGGAGCAUCUCCUACCUCAAAAUCCCGACCCUUCCCAUUCCUCGAAUCCUAGCUGGUAAAUACUAUUCUGUCAUUCUGUCCACUCCCUUAUCCCUCCCCCCCCCCCAAUUUGGCUAUAUGCUGAAAGGAUAUCUCCUCUAGUUUGGGGGAAGGGGUAGCGCCAAGGGGACCUUAAGAAGAUAGAAGAGAGGAUGAUAUCUCCCCCUUUUCCCAGAUAGAGCCGCCUACGCUCGAUCUGGAGAGUCCCGUGGGGAGCAGAUAUUUUUUUCUCAGCCUUGAAGCAACGUGGGCGGUGACAGGAAGAUAGCUCCGAGAAGGAGCGGGGGCGAAGUGGAGGUGGGGGAAACACAGACGUGAGCGUUGCCAGGCGUUCCCCUCCGGUUUUAGGACUCCAUAGAUUAUAAUAUCUCCAUUUUCUCCCAGGGUCCGUGUCUUGACACUUCUGGGUUUGAGAGAAGUCGAGAUAAUAGGAGUGGAUAGCACUUCAAGGGUAGCUCCUAGAGAAACGCUAGAUUUUGAGGUCGUGAAGGGAAUUUAAGGAGCAGACAUACUGAAGCCCUGACAGCUUCUCUCGUUUCACUUGCCUUUCCCUUCCCCCCCCCCUUUAUUUUUCUUUUCUAUAGAGUGGAAAUCAUUCUUUCCCCAGUUCAAUAUGGAUUUACGCGCCCCUCCGCCUCUUCUGCCUUCU